CGGGGCGAGGGGCGUUGCUGCGCGUGCUCGCUCCGAGGCCGCCGUGUGCGCCUGAGGCUGUUGGCUGCGGUCUUGAAACGGGCUCUGGGAGCUUCCUCUGCGCGGUCGGCCCUGGCUGAGGCGUCCCGGGCUGCGCGCGGGGCUCGGCGCUGCGCAGUGUCCGGUGUCCUCUCGGUCCGGAGCUUCUCCAGAGGAGGAGCGGCUCGUGCGCCCCCAGACCUCCGGUACUGGGAGACUCGGGCCCUCCUGUAAGAGACCUGAGCGCGGAGCGUUAUGGGCACCCGGUGAAUGAGCAAAUGGCAGGGAAAACCGUGCAGCCCCAUGGACUGCGGGCUCUUCCUUCACGACUAGCAAAAGCUUUGACACCCUUUCUCCUGCGUACGCGUGUCUGUGUGCGUGUAAGCUGUGGCUGGGUGCGGGGGGCUGUGUACGUGUCUGUGUGUGGUGUGUGUGGAGUGUUUGAGGCAGGUGUGUGGUGUUUCAGGUGUGUGUGCAUGUGUGGUGUUUGAGGUGUGUGUGUGUGUUUUUGUAGUGUUUGAGGGAUAUGUGUGUGUGGUGUUUGAGGUGUGUGUAGUGUUUGAGGCACGUAUGUGUGUGGUGUUGGGUGUGUGUGGUGUUAGAGGUGUGGCGUAUGUGUGUUUGCGGUGGUUGAGGUGUGUGUGUGUGUCUGGUGUUUAGGGUGUGUCUGUUGUGUGCGUGUGGUGGUGGAGGCGUGGUGUGGUGUGGAAUGUGUGUCUGGGGUCCAGUCUGGCCUGUUGCAGGGUUACGCUGCUGGGGAAAAACUCAUCUGAGGACAACGUGAUUGGGUCCUCGCUCCCUCGUUGGGCAGCCUUGGACUUAACCUUUUUGAUCUUGAAGGAAAACACAAUAUGUCACCUCCAAAUAUAUUUCCUUGACACGGUUCAAGACAGUUACUCAGAAGGACUGGAAAUAGAAGAAUAGCUGAAAAGCUGUCUUUUGUGGGGGAGAUUUGCAUCUGUGGAGAGAAUCUACACUGAUGCGGCCAGGCCUCCUCUGAGGCCCUCCUUGCCUGAUCUGGGAAGAGUAACAGUCUGACGCCUUUAAAGGCCUGAAGGGAACAUUCACCAUCUGUUCUCUCUCAGGGCUGCUACCUGUGAGGUUUCAUCUGUAGAACAAGGCCACCUUUGCUAGCCAGGCCUCCUCUGCUCUCCCUCCUGUAACCGGUCUUGCCACUGGUCACCUGAUUUUCCACCAUAAACUGUGGCCAUACUUUGAGCCCAUGUUCUUUCUGUAACCUCAAGAUGGUAUAUAAGCUUCCGAACCCCAUUGGGAGGUUGGGGUCAUCACUCUGGUUCUCCCUGUGUGCAUGAAUAAAUCUGUAUGCCUUUUUUCUUACUAACCUGGCUUUUGUCAGUUGAUUUUCUGUGAACUCAGAAUGCAGAAAAGUUUUUCUCUAGGCUCCUACAGUUUUGGUGCAGUCGGUAGGAUAACUAAAGUCACUCUCCUGGGAGCCUCCGUCAGGGGAACCCAGGAGCCGACAAGCUGGCAGAAAGAAGGGUAAGAAGGUCUUAGCAGCCAGGCUCCCGGCCUCUCUGGAAUCUUGUCAAGCCGACGGUAAAAAUGUCUGUUUACCUUGUUUUCCUCUUCAAAGUUUUAAUGAGAGAAAUGUAUUUAUGUGAUUAGUUUUGUAUUCAUAUUGUUUGAUUGCUUU
rnacentral:lncRNA from 10 species